AGUGAACGCUGGCGGUAGGCCUAACACAUGCAAGUCGAACGGCAGCACAGUAAGAGCUUGCUCUUACGGGUGGCGAGUGGCGGACGGGUGAGGAAUACAUCGGAAUCUACUUUUUCGUGGGGGAUAACGUAGGGAAACUUACGCUAAUACCGCAUACGACCUACGGGUGAAAUCAGGGGAUCUUCGGACCUUGCGCGAUUGAAUGAGCCGAUGUCGGAUUAGCUAGUUGGCGGGGUAAAGGCCCACCAAGGCGACGAUCCGUAGCUGGUCUGAGAGGAUGAUGGGCCACAGUGGAACUGAGAAAAGGUCCAGACCCCUACGGGAGGCAGCAGUAGGGAAUCGUCAGCAAUGGGCGAAAGCUUGAUGGAGCAACGCCGCGUGAGUGAUGAAGGUCUUCGGAUCGUAAAACUCUGUUAUUAGGGAAGAACAAAUGUGUAAGUAACUAUGCACGUCUUGACGGGACCUAAUCAGAAAGCCACGGCUAACGACGUG
rnacentral:rRNA from 1 species